AUUGAACGCUGGCGGCAGGCCUAACACAUGCAAGUCGAGCGCGCGGCGGACGGGUGAGUAAUGUCUGGGAAACUGCCUGAUGGAGGGGGGGAACUACUGGAAACGGUAGCUAAUACCCCAUACCAUCAGGUGUGCGCAGAUGGGAUUAGCGAGUAGGUGGGGUAACGGCUCACCUAGGCGACGAUCCCUAGCUGGUCUGAGAGGAUGACCAGCCACACUGGAACUGAGACACGGUCCAGACUCCUACGGGAGGCAGCAGUGGGGAAUAUUGCGCAAUGGGCGCAAGCCUGAUGCAGCCAUGCCGCGUGAGUGAAGAAGGCCUUCGGGUUGUAAAGCACUUUCAGCGGGGAGGCGUUACCCGCAGAAGAAGCACCGGCUAACUCCGUGCCAGCAGCCGCGGUAAUAC
rnacentral:rRNA from 1 species